ACUUCCCUGAGAACAACAUCCCAGGCGAGAGGGUGGCCACAGUGCUGGCGACAGACGCAGACAGCGGAAAGAACGCCGAGAUCGCCUACUCGCUGGACUCCUCUGUGAUGGGGAUCUUUGCCAUCGAUCCCGAUUCUGGGGACAUCCUGGUCAAUACCGUGCUGGACCGCGAGCAGACUGACAGCUUCAUCCCCAGUCACCAACUGCAGGAAAAAAACACCAGGCCGUACAAGAUCUACCACCAGCCAACACAUUUGUGGGAGCAGGAGACAACAUUUCAAUUGGAUCAGAUCACUGCUCUGAGUACAGCUGUCAAACCAAUAACAAGUACAGCAAACAG
rnacentral:sRNA from 1 species